rnacentral:lncRNA from 1 species
AUAAGGAAAAGGCCUAAAAGAGAGUAGAGCAGAGGCUAGAAUAUGAGGUUUGAAAGGUUCAGAGUGUAGGAUUAAGGGGAUGUAGUGUCUAGAGAUAUAGUGGCAGAUUAGAAAUCCACUUAUGUCACCCUCCCUUUCCCAGUGUGAAGGAGAAACUACAAUGGGCCUGAAAUGUGGGAAAAACCCAGAACGGGCGUAUCUAAAGUCAGUGUUGGGGUUUUUUCCAUUCUGGGCUUCUGUAGAGACAUGGUGGUUCAACAUGGCGACCUCAGUGGAAGGAGACCCGAAACGUCUGUAAAUAAAAACGCCUCAUUCUCACCUCAAAGACUGAUCUGACAUUGAUUCAGAACCAACAGGCCUUUUUCACAGCAGCCAUCCUGACAUGAAACAGUAGGGUAAACAUAGGUGUUAUCAAAGACACUCAUUAAGGCUCCGUUCCAUUCAGCUCAAACAGAGUCAGGGUGCAGCUGUUGAGCAUGUUGGCUCACUGGAAAAGGCUCUGCUACACUAAAUGGAACAUUAAUUAGUAAAAACAAUGGCUGGAAAAAGGUCUGUGGGCUUCCUAUCCGUGUAAGAUCAGACGCUGGUGAUUAUUUGUGCUGAUGAAAGUAGAUCAAACAUAACAUCAUGAGAGAGUCGAGAGUUACUGAUACUCAAACUGAUGUAAUUAAUGAUGAAGUAAUGUCUCGUGUUAAUGUGAAGGCUCAUUAAACCCUCUGACGUCUUUCUGAUGUUGUUAUGUGGUGGUAUCCUGUUGCCUCAUCUGGCUGGUUUUCAGUGAGUAUAUUAAGACCUGUGUGUGUUUCAAACUCUUCACUUCUUCAGCCAUGGACAAAGGUGUGCUGCUGGUCCUGUUGUGUCUGCAGGCUUUCCUGCUCAUCACUGCCUUCACUUCUACUGAUGCAGCCGCUCUGCCUAGAGAAGAUCAACUGCCUCUUGGGGAGAGAAGACCACCACCAAAAGGGAAGCCAAGCUAUUGGCUCGGCUGUUGGGGAAGAAUAGAGGGAUGUAACUCUUUCAGAGUGCCCCCUACUAAUAAUCCUGAGUUGAAUUUACUUGUCAAGCAACUUAAGAAGACGUCAACAUGAUGCGACAACAACAGAAGUUUGAAACAAGCUUUUGCAGAACUGCCAUGCUACGUUUAGGAGUGGAAGAGAAUAUCUACUGUAUGCUGUACUGCUUAUGAAAUCUGCCAUAAUUGCAAAAUAAACAAAUUCAAAUCAGAUAUUGUGUGAUUGUCCAGUUGUUUUGUCAUUUUUUUCAGACCAGACAUUAACCAGCUUGUAGGAUUUAGAGGCUUUCUAG